rnacentral:rRNA from 1 species
ACGAACGCUGGCGGCGUGCUUAACACAUGCAAGUCGAACGGAAAGGCCCUGCUUUUGUGGGGUGCUCGAGUGGCGAACGGGUGAGUAACACUUGAGUAACCUGCCCUUGACUUUGGGAUAACUUCAAGAAACUGGGUCUAAUACCUGAUAUGAUCUCCUGCUGCAUGGUGGGGGUUGGAAAGUUUCGGCGGUUGGGGAUGGACUCGCGGCUUAUCAGCUUGUUGGUGGGGUAGUGGCUUACCAAGGCUUUGACGGGUAGCCGGCCUGAGAGGGUGACAGGCCAAAAUGGGACUAAGAUACGGCCCAGACUCAUACGGGAGGCAGCAGGGGGGAAUAUGGAAAAAUGGGCGGAAGCCUGAUGCAGCAACGCCGCGUGCGGGAUGACGGCCUUCGGGUUGUAAACCGCUGUCGCCUGUGACGAAGCGUGAGUGACGGUAAUGGGUAAAGAAGCACCGGCUAACUACGUG